rnacentral:rRNA from 1 species
AUUGAACGCUGGCGGCAGGCCUAACACAUGCAAGUCGAAUGGUAACAGGAAACAGCUUGCUGUUUCGCUGACGAGUGGCGGACGUGUGAGUAAUGUCUGUGAAACUGCCUGAUGGAGGGGGAUAACUACUGGAAACGGUAGCUAAUACCGCAUAACGUCGCAAGACCAAAGAGGGGGACCUUCGGGCCUCUUGCCAUCAGAUGUGCCCAGAUGGGAUUAGCUAGUAGGUGGGGUAACGGCUCACCUAGGCGACGAUCCCUAGCUGGUCUGAGAGGAUGACCAGCCACACUGGAACUGAGACACGGUCCAGACUCCUACGGGAGGCAGCAGUGGGGAAUAUUGCACAAUGGGCGCAAGCCUGAUGCAGCCAUGCCGCGUGUAUGAAGAAGGCCUUCGGGUUGUAAAGUACUUUCAGCGGGGAGGAAGGGAGUAAAGUUAAUACCUUUGCUCAUUGACGUUACCCGCAGAAGAAGCACCGGCUAACUCCGUG